GCCCGGCUAGCUCAAUCGGUAGAGCGUGAGACUCUUAAUCUCAAGGUUGUGGGUUCGACCCGUAAGCAUCAUUUGCCUCACUACCGAUUCGCAUCGCACAAUAACUAACAUACACCAGCCACGUCGGGCUCA